GAUCGAAACCCUAGCCUCCUUUCGAUUCUUUCUCUCCGCCUCGCGCGCCCCCGCUCUCUUCUCGCGCACUCCGGCAGCGGGCAACCGCGCCGCGCCGGUCGCCGGUGACGGCGACGAGCGCCACCGCGCCGCGCUGCGCCAUGCGAGCCUCCUCCUUUUCCUUCCUCUGUUUCUCCCUGUCUCCCGCAACAGAGAGCGUGAGAGAGAGCAGAGAGGCACAGCCCGCCUAACCGAUGCGGCGGAUGGGGCCACCCCGGCCACCGGCGACGGCGACGAGCCGCGCUGUGCGAGCCUUCCCUUUCCCCCUUCCUUUCUCUUUUUCACCCAUCCACCACCUCCUUCUAUUGGAGAGAGCCGUGAGCUACGGCGGCGCCCUCCCUGUCCGCUUUGCCGGCGUGCGCGAGCACCUCGAUGGUGAACGCGCCGCCGUCAAACGGCUCGGUGGUGGUGCAUGUACUUUGCCCCUGUGAGAGGGUAGUUCUUCGUCCCUGUCGCCUCGGCUUGCCGAUGCGCGACGGGAUCGAGAGGAACAGGCGCGGCCUUACGGCGGCGCUCUUUGUCGGUGAGGCCCGAGGCCAUACUCCGGUGAACUUUUGUGGUUCUUUUGUUUGCUUUUCUCUGCCCUGCUAGAGUUCUUUGGGGGGGGGGGCGACUUUUUUCUUUGUGAUCUAUUUCAACCGAAAAAUUCUAUACCCAACCUGUCUGAUACCAUUGAUAGAUAACUGGAUCGGUUAGGGUUAGGAAUUCACGGUGAACCUAUCUUCUCCUUGUCCAGAUGAGGAACUCCCGGUGCUGGCCAUGGUGACGGUGGCCGGUGAAGGCAGAGAGUGGAUCGCGGUGGUGGUGGAGCUUCCUGUCGGCCUAGCGCAACCCUAGAUCGGAUUGGUGUGUCGGUGGUGUUGUGGUGCACGGUCAACCUCGUGAUGCGUGCCCCGGCACCCCACCUCUUUAUAUUGCGCUGGCGACAAGGGCUCACCAACCAUGGUUUUUCAGCCCGUUGGGUUGGAACAGGAGAGAGAUCAACCUAAUAGUGAGAUGUAUCCAUAUUUGGGUCUGCGAAUUUCAUUGUGACUGAUCGGUUUUAUGUCCAUGAGAAAUAAUUUUGUAGAAUAUUUUGGGGGGGGGGUCAUAUGAUGUAUUUUAAAGUUAUGAACUAAUUUAUGUGUUAUGUAUACGGAGCUUAUGGAGUUCAGUAUCCAUCGGUUGACUGCUACAGGAGCAAUUGGAGUGUUCCAUGAACCUCUUGGCCAUGCAUUGUAUGAAUGCAAUUUUGGAGUCAAGGAAAAUACUUGUCUCAAGUCUGCAGAAAGUAACCAGUGCAAAUGUUGUAUACCAUUGCAUUUUUUUUCCUAAUGAAACUACUAAUUGAAACAGUUCCCAUCUUCUACAGGUACAGGGCUGGGUUCCGUUGGAAGUCAUCUGCAAGUGUGCCACCUCUCAUGAUGGAUUCUUCUCAUGGUGGGGAUUCGGUCUGAAGGUGGAAGCAUUGCUCCAGAGUCACUCAAAGUCUCUAAAUUUGGCAACAAAUAUAUUUGAGGAAAGAAUACGAACACCAUUUUUGUCGUUGCACACCUGGACUCUCAUGGAUAUCUGGGAAUGAGCACUUCCUAUUCAAAAUUCACUUGCAGAAUCAACUCAAUGAAGGUCCAUAUGUUGAACUUCUGUUUAAGAAUCUGCUAAUGACGGUGUGUAGAACUGCGGCUUCCUUGCAAGGACUGCUCGCUGUCACUCUUUUGGCAAUCUUGCUGAAGAUUGGAUCGCCAGUGUGCCGUUAUUUUAUUUGUGGAGCUGUAAGGCUUGGGACUGAGGCAGGAGCAUUCCCCCAAGGAAAAUCAAGUUUUAUUGGGAGGUCAUAUGUUGUGGAUGUCACCAUAUCGUGUAUUUUCCUUCGUUGAGGUUAUAUUUCAUUUCAGGUUCUAGAAUCUUAUCCAAAAGGCAGUGUUGUUUUUAUGGAUUUUGUUAAGCUUUGUCUUACGACACUUCAUGGCAGUGUUCACUGUCAAAUCCUGUAGGAAAUAUGGCUGACUAUGGAUGCGCACAUGUGAUUGAUGUUCAUUCAUUUUGCAGCACUACUAGCUUCGCCACACACACCACCUGUGAGAUGGUUCUGCCUGUAGAGAUGUACCUAUAAUGAACUAUAAAUGAGAUUGAUUGUGAUUCAUUUUA